rnacentral:rRNA from 1 species
UAGCAGGACCCCAAGUGGUAGCCAGUUUUAUUGGGCUUAAAGUGUUCGUAGCCGGACCUGUAAGUCCGCUGUGAAAUCCAAGCGCUUAACGUUUGGAAGUGCAGCGGAUACUGCAGGUCUAGGAACCGGAUGGCGUCGAGGCUAUUCCAGGGGUAGGAGUGAAAUCCAAAAAUCCCUGGAGGAGCACCUGUGGCGAAAGCGCUCGACGAAUACGGAUUCGACGGUGAGGAACGAAAGCCAGGGGAGCAAA